GCGGGACACGUGGUAUCCUGUCUGAAUAUGGGGGGACCAUCCUCCAAGGCUAAAUACUCCUGACUGACCGAUAGUGAACCAGUACCGUGAGGGAAAGGCGAAAAGAACCCCGGCGAGGGGAGUGAAACAGAACCUGAAACCGUGUACGUACAAGCAGUGGGAGCCCCACCACUAAGCCAGUGGUGAGUUCCAUGAUGCAUCCUUUGCUGAAGGUGCGGUUGGCGGAGCGUUUUUUGCGACGCCCAACACACAAAACAAGCAGAGGGGGCUUAGUGGUGGGGUGACUGCGUACCUUUUGUAUAAUGGGUCAGCGACUUAUAUUCUGUAGCAAGGUUAACCGCAUAGGGGAGCCGGAGGGAAACCGAGUCUUAACCGGGCGUUAAGUUGCAGGGUAUAGACCCGAAACCCGGUGAUCUAGCCAUGGGCAGGUUGAAGGUUGGGUAACACUAACUGGAGGACCGAACCGACUAAUGUUGAAAAAUUAGCGGAUGACCUGUGGCU
rnacentral:rRNA from 1 species